GGACUACAAGUAUAUGCUUCUGGUUUUGCAAAUGAUAUUUAUUCAAGCUAUAGUUAUAACUUUGAGCCCGAAGCUGAGUACCUCACGUUCAUUGACAAUUCCCAGUUCGCUGUUGAUGGAUUUAUCACAGACUUUCCUACUACAGCAACAGAAGCCAUCGGUGAGAUUGAUAUACUUUUCAUUGUCUAUAGCCAAAGAAACCAAAUUUGAGCCAUUAGAACAAGAAGAAUACAACUGCUGCAAUCUAAACCUAGGCUCCAACUGAUUUUAAUUUUUUUUUCCCCCUAAUGGAUGCAGUGUGCUUUGCACUUACCAACCUCAACGAAACAAGGAAAGGUAAAACACUAGCUAGUCCUAUUGUUAUCUAAUUAAAGCUUAUUGUGACAUCCAUAUUAUGACAUCAACUAAAAUUGAUAGAAAUUAAUAGAAAGUGAAGAGGAUAAAUAAUAUAAUUCUAUACUUUUUGCAGAUAGACCUUUGAUCAUAACUCAUAAUGGAGCAAGUGGGGUUUAUGCCGGCUGCACUGAUCUUGCUUAUCAGCAAGCAGUAGAUGAUGGAGCUGACAUAAUUGAUUGCACUGUCCAAAUGUCCAAGGAAGGCGUUGCUUUCUGUUUGGAAUCACCAGACCUCAUAGGAAAAACAACUGCAGCAACAGUUUUCAUGUCUAAAGCAACCAGUGUUCCUGAAAUUCAAAAGGAAAGAGGAAUCUUUUCAUUUGAUCUCACAUGGACUGAGAUUCAAUCCUUAAAGCGUAAACUUCUUCUCUUACAAGUUAGCUAGCUUGAGUAAUUGAGAAAUAAUCACCUAGUCCUCUGACUUAAUAGCGCCAAAUAUUUGUUAUUUCAGCUCAAAUCUCCAGCCCUUUUGACAAAUCUAAUCCUCCCAUCAUAAGAAAUCCAGAGGCCAAGAACAAGGGUAAGUUUGUGACCCUUGACGGAUUUCUGGAGUUCGCAAAGACCAAGGCAGUUUCUGGAGUUUUGAUCAACAUCAAUGUAAGGAGCAUAUGUACACACACACACACACACGUUUGCUAGCUCAUUGACAAGUUCAUAAUCCCGCGGGCGUCAGCAUUAUUAAAAUGUAACAAAUUAAAUCUUUGUUUGUCAUGAUUAGAAUGCUGCUUACCUAGCAUCAAAGAAGGGCCUUGGUGUUGUAGAUGCAGUGACCAAAGCUCUGAGUAAUGCCACCUUUGACAAGCAAUCCACUCAGCAAGUCAUGAUCCAAUCAGAUGACAGUUCAGUGUUGUCCAAAUUCAAAGAUG
rnacentral:lncRNA from 1 species